UACAGAGGGUGCGAGCGUUAAUCGGAUUUACUGGGCGUAAAGCGUGCGUAGGCGGUUCGCUAAGUCGGUUGUGAAAUCCCUGGGCUUAACCUGGGAACUGCAGUCGAUACUGGCGGACUAGAGUACGGUAGAGGGUGGCGGAACUCCGGGUGUAGCGGUGAAAUGCGUAGAGAUCAUGAGGAAGACCAGUGGCGAAGGCGGGUCUCUGGACAGUUCCUGACACUGAGGCACGAAGGCCAGGGGAGCAAACGGG
rnacentral:rRNA from 1 species